ensembl:lncRNA
GUUUCUUCGUCUGUAUAACGGGAUGAACGUCAGAACCAGCCCACGGGGCCGCCGCCAGGAGUAAUCCAGAUAAUACAAGCGAAAGUCUAGAACUGAGCUGGAAAUGCUAGGUGAAUACAGAAAGCUGCACCCAGUGGAAGUAAGCACAAAGGAAUAUACACAACGCACACACCCACACGCCUCCACCACCCGCCGGCCACCUCCACUCACGAAGUGUAGGAGCCAUCCCAUACACAUCUGCUGACACGCUUUCCUUCCGACGCCAGAUGACACUGUUUCCACCUCUUCAGAAUGACUCACCAGCUACAGUCCUUCGGAGCACGCUGCCACAAGCAAACCUCAGGUCUUUUUCCAGAGCGCGCCACUGGGCUCUCCACGUCUGGCCAGCAAAAGGGGAAAAGCCAGUUUGAAGACCUCCUGGGGCUUCAGGGUCCGUGGCCAGAAGAGCUGCUCUAGAGUGCCCACCUUCCAUUGGCCAGAAGGGGUCCAAGGCGUCACACAGACGCAAACGAGCCCAGGAAGAAAAUGAAUUGGUUUGGUAAACAAUUUUUGUGAAAAGUGCUGGUGGCAACCCACGAAAUGAACUUCCUGCCUCGCUGUGCGUCACAGGUGCAGCCGACGUGCGGAGGCUCACAGUCCAGGCCGCGCUCCCGGUGACGCCUCACCCUGUUCCGCAGGCUCGGUUUGGCUUCUGCCACGUGCAGCGUUCCCCUGCCUCUCUAGAGUGCCCCUAUAUCACCUGUCACCGUUGUGGUUAAGACGAGGGAGCGUUGAGUGACUUACAUCAAAGACAGGUCGGUGAAACCAGAUGCCAGCGUUCUUCCUCCAGCAGACCCGUGAGCAGGCAGGACCCACCUCACCGCCAGCCUGCACACAGCGCUCAGCAGAGCGCCCGGGCCUGGCCCCUGCAGGCCAUCCGUGCACCAGUGAGCCCUGCCUCUCCAGGGCCAGGGACUGCUAGGCCACGGCAGAACCCCGUGGCAGCUCACAGGGAGUAACCGUAACAUGGCCCCUUCCUGCAGGCCUCGGCUCUGGGCACCCUGCAAUUCCAGGUCACUGCGCCAGAGAGGAUGAGCACCCAGGCUGAGCUCACUACCUCCCUCCCUCCCUAAUGCCGACAGACCCUGAGACCUCAUUCAGUCCAGCCGUUACCACAGGGUCCGGCACAGAGAAAACAUCCAAGAAAUACCGUCAUCCAAGAGUCGCAUACCUGCUGGGUGUUACACGCUGCAUUAGGAACAACGGCAGCUCCGAACGAACAGAAAGCAGCAACGGACGACCUCGGGGAAACUGACCGUCUGUGGAGUUAGACAGGAGAGGCUCCCAAGCCACCUUUGAUUCCUUCCUGGACCACAGCCGUGGCCUCCCCUCCUGCCUGGGCUCCCGGCCUCCAGCUUUGCCCCCACACUCACUAUCUUCUCAGUGCAGCAGCCUUCGAUGUUCUCGCUCUCACUCAGUCAAUGCCAAAAUCCCUACCCAGCCACAAGGCCCUGCCGGGUCUCCCCUCAGAUGGGAGCACUACAGGCCCCUGCUCUCCCCACUCAACCCCGAGGCCUCCUUGCUGGUUCCAAACUCACUUCAGCCUGGAGGUCUUCGCACUUGCUUUUCCCUCUGGAAACCCCGUGGCUGGCUUCCUCUCUGUCCCUCAGAUCAUUACUCAGAUGUCAUUUCUCAGCGAAGCUGUCCCUGCCCGCUUCCUCUACUCUUCUCUGUAAAGCUCAUCGCCCUGUGCUUCCUUAUUUGGGUUGUCUUAUGUCUGCCUCAUGCACCACAAUGUAACCUCCAUGACAGCAAAGAAUUUUGUCCUUGUGUUCACUGACGUACGCAAUCACCUAGAACAAUGCAAAACACCCAGGAAGUACUUAUAGAAUGAAUGAAUGAAUGACUCGAGACAGGCAUUGAACAAUAAUGCAAGUGUUAUGAAUUGAACUGUGUCCCCCAAAAGAUGUUGAAGUCCUAACCCCUGUACCCGUGACUGUGACCUGUUGGGCAAUAGGGUCUUUGCAGAGAAUCGAGUUAAGGUGAGGUCAUUAGGGUGGGCCCUCAGCUAGUUUGACUGGUGUCCAUAUAACAGGAGGAUCUUGGACCCAGAAGCAGACACAUACAGAGGGAAGACGAUGGGAAGACGUGGGAGAAAGCCUGAGGAGGUAGACGAGAGGCCUGGAACAGAUUCUCCUUCACAACCUGCAGAGGGAACCAACCCUGCUGACUCCUGGCUUUCGGGCUUCGGCCUCCAGAUCUGCGAGAUAAUAAAUUUCUGUUGUUUCAAGC